rnacentral:rRNA from 1 species
AUUGAACGCUGGCGGCAGGCCUAACCCAUGCAAGUCGAGCGGAGCGGCGGUCGGGUGAGUAAUGCCUAGGAAUCUGCCUGGUAGUGUGGGAUAACGUCCGGAAACGGGCGCUAAUACAGCAUACUAUCAGUUGAGUCAAGGUCGGACUUGCGAGGUGGGGGGGUAACGGCCAACCAAGGCGACGAUCCGUAACUGGUCUGAGAGGAUGAUCAGUCACACGGUAACUGAGACACGAUCCAGACUCCGACGGUAGGCGGAAGUGGGGAGUAUUGGACAAAGGGCGAAAGCCUGAACCAUCCAUGCCGCGUGUGUGGAGAAGGGCUGCGGAUUGUAAAGCAAUUUAGGUUGGGAGGCGUGACCAACAGAAUAAGCUCCGGCUGACUUCGUGCCAGCAGCCGCGGUAAUUC